rnacentral:rRNA from 1 species
GACGAACGCUGGCGGCGUGCUGAACACAUGCAUGUCGAACGAUGAAGCCGGAGCUUGCUCCGGCGGAGUAGUGGCGAACGGGUGAGUAACACGUGAGUAAACUGCCCUUGACUGCGGGAUAACUGAGGGAAACUGUAUCUAAUACUGGAUACGACCCUCGGCGGACUCGCCUGGGGGUGGAAAGAAUUUCGCUCGAGGAUGGACUCGCGGCCUAUCAGCUAGUUGGCGAGGUAAUAGCUCACCAAGGCAAUGACGGGUAGUUGAUCUGAGAUGAUGAUCAGCCACAAUGGAACUGAGACACGGUCCAUACUCCUACGGGAGGCAGCAGUGAGGAAUCUUCCACAAUGGGGGCAACCCUGAUGGAGCGACACCGCGUGAAGGAUGAAGAUCUAACGAUUGUAAACUUCUUUUCUGAGGGAGCAUAAUGAGAGUACCUCAGGAAUAAGGGACGGCUAAAUACGUGCCAGCAGCCGCAGUAA